UACAGAGGUCCCAAGCGUUGUUCGGAUUCAUUGGGCGUAAAGGGUGCGUAGGCGGCGCGGUAAGUCGGGUGUGAAAUCUCGGAGCUUACUCCGAAACUGCAUUCGAUACUGCCGUGCCUUGAGGACUGGAGAGGAGACUGGAAUUUACGGUGUAGCGGUGAAAUGCGUAGAUAUCGUAAGGAGACCAGUGGCGAAGGCGGGUCUCUGGACA
rnacentral:rRNA from 1 species